GUAUCUAUUGUUGAUCUUAGUGAGUAGUCCCUGUGACGGCUCGACGACGAUUCCUCCAACUGAGUGCAUUUGCACAGCGACUACGGAGACGGAGUGCGCCGGCAGGUGUGGCUGCCUAACGAAGACCAUUAUCUGCACAGAGUUCACCGACGCCUGUGGCGGAGUAGCGCCCGAGGAGACGACAGAGACGUGUUUGACGGGAGGUCCGAUCCGCACGUGUCGUGGGAGAUGCUGUGGUGGCUGGGAGCUAAUAAGGAUAGGCAGGAGGAGACGAUGUCAGCCGCCGCAGUAAACAUACAAGCAACUACUAGCGCAACGAUGCGACGUCGUCUAUCGUUGCACCCAGAAACGGAACUAAGCCAGAUGAUACAUAGCGUUAGCUGCCAGGUAAACGGGGGACACAGACCAGGACAGCUCAUGCCUGAUUCUCCGGUUGCAAUAUUUCCAUUAUUGGGAAUGUGCAGAAUCUUCAGGGGCAACCUUCAGUGUUGCUUCUCUCAACAAAGAUAUAUAUUCGUAUAUCCUGAAUGCCAUUAUAUAAUUCUAGGUGAAAUGACAUGAAAUGAAAUCAUGCUGUAAAACGAUUUGCGGAAGAAUUGCGCUCUAGACUACCAGCAAAGGGCAGUGUUAGAGCUUUAAAAUAAAAACCACUCGCCGAACUGGGCGAGUGAUCGAGUCAAUAAGUUAACUCGCCCAAACGGAAUCUGUACUCGCCCAAAUUUUAAAACAAAAAUGCUUGUCAAACAAUAGUGAAAAAACACCAUUGAUUUAACUACAGAUGUAAUUCAUUGAUCACUUUUCUCAAAAAUUCAAGACUCAUCUCCUCUGAAAGUUCCUGUUUUCAUUUUCAUUUAAUUUACUUUUAUUCUCGGGCUGCUUUGCCCCAUCAAUGAAACGCCACGUUACGCCAAUUUUAUUUACCAAGGCCAACGUGACUUUUAAACAAUCCUGCAGUCCCCCCGCCCCCCUCCCCGUACAUCAAUC